CUUCAUCUUCAUCUUUUAUUUUGUUUUGCUCACCAAACACACACACACACACACAGCAGCACACUUCUUCCCCCUCUCAACCACGAAAAUCUCCACCAUUUUCUCACUUGUCUCUUGCUCUUCUCCCUUCUCUCAUCAACCCUUGAAUCUUGGGAGCCAUGGCAUGAGAGGGCUUUGAUUUCUUGUUGGAAGCAUUGCACAAAGUGGCCUUUCAAGAGCAAAAACCGUUUGGCUUGGGCUUUGCUUCAAAUCAAGUCCUUCAUCAUUUUUGAGCUUUGAGUAACGAUUUUUGGGUGUUAGGACCUCCAAUCUACCGAUUAUUUUGAGGCACGUAAAGUGGAGACUUCAAUUGCUCCCCAACGGCGAGUUUAAGGUAACUAGAACAUGGGGGACAUUUGAGUCAUGAGUCCAAUGCAGUUAAGACUCUGAUGUUUUGACUGCAGGUUCGGUGGAUCUACUGAAUGACGUCGUAGCAUAGUACUCGAGAUGUUAUGACUGAAGCCCGUCGCGACAGUUAUAGUGGUUGGACCAUGGGUUGUCCACCUUUUGGUAGACUUUGUUUAUAGCUCGUGUCGCCUGCGACACUUGUAUUUAUGAGCCAGUCUUUUAGUAUGUAUUUGAUAGCUUUGUAGAAGUCUUAAACAAAUGGACAUAUUAAUGGCUCUUUUGUUGUGAUUAACUGUUGUUUAUAGAUGUACUUUCCGCUAGGUUGAUAAUGUUAUUAUGUGUUAUCCGUUGCGUAAAUGUAAUUCUGAUUAUUAGGUAAAUGUUAUGGAAUAUGUACCG